CCCUACGGGGCGCAGCAGGCGCGAAAACUUUACAAUGCGGGAAACCGUGAUAAGGGAACUCCGAGUGUCCGUAAAUGCGGACUGUCCGUAUGUUUAAAAAGCAUGCGAAGAAAGGGCCGGGCAAGACCGGUGCCAGCCGCCGCGGUAAUACCGGCGGCUCGAGUGGUGGCCGAUAUUAUUGAGUCUAAAGGGUCCGUAGCCGGCUUUGCAAGUCUCUCGGGAAAUCCAGCGGCUUAACCGUUGGUCGUCCGGGGGGUACUACAUUGCUUGGGACUGGGAGAGGUGAGAGGUACUCAGGGGGUAGGAGUGAAAUCCUGUAAUCC
rnacentral:rRNA from 1 species